rnacentral:lncRNA from 1 species
AAUAAUUCAUUUCUCUCUGUUGCUGAAGCAUCUUUCAAGGCAAAGAGGAGUGAAGAACCAGUGUUAUAUAGAAUGUUUUAUUUUAAAGCAACAAGCAUGCAUUGACUUCACAGCCGGAGGAAGACUAUGUAGGAAUCAUGGUUCAUUAUUCUUAGUAACAGUGGCCCUGAUUUACCCAAGUGCAAGGCUGCCUGGCUGGAGAGCAAACCAUCACUUCUCCUUGCAAGAAACUCUGUCUGCGUCUUGAGUAAAUGUGAUGUGGCGACUUUUAGGAUCCCUCUGUAAGAGACAGAUGGUAGUCCCUGGUACUUCACCCCACGUCCUGUUCAAGCAGGGGUCAUCACAUGACCUUCCGUUAGAAGCCAUUGCUUAGAUGCCACAAUUCAAUCCAUGGGAGAACAGUAGCACAGCCAUCGAUCCUAAAGGAUUAUGGUUCAAGUCAAUGAGCUUCGGGAUGCUCUAUCAGUGAUUCCUCUACACAGUCAGAGCUGGAUGCUUUAUUGCUCAGUAUUCUGCAGCUGAUUGUCAAGAGUAAGCAGAAAAGAGGGCUGAAUUUCAAGCAAGCCAAGAUGCAAAAAAAGGAGGCUUUAAUAAAUCAAGCUGCAAAGAGGACCCCCAGACAAGCAAAACUCAAAGAAGACCCCUGCACAAGGCAAAUCGCCUGGAAGAAACAAACCAGCAGAGCUGCCGGGAAGAGCUGAAGCACCUGGAAGGGACACUCUUCACCCUUCUGAGCUGCCUACAGGCUGUGCAGUGUGCUCCAGGUUUCCAGCUUCUGUGAGCUGUCACCCAUGCUGAUGUGAGCUUUGGUGAUGCAGCUGUCUGAGUUAUUUCUACUCCCAUAUGUAAACUCUCACCCAUAUUCCUCAAGGGAAUACAAGAAGAAGAAAAAAAGCCUACCAUGACAGUUCUCCAGAGGACAGUACCUAACAAUAUCUGAGUAGCAUGCUCAGCAGAAAGCACAGCCACACUGGAGGACAUCAGGAGAACCCAGCUAAGUAUUGCAUGGCAGCUGAGAGGAUUGGGGCCGCCCACCUUCUUCUUUUUCCUCCUCCUCCUCCUCAGGUCCGGGUUCCGCACCAGGCCUUGCUCCUCCUUCAGUUGCUUGAUACUCUGUUUCUCGUGCACUGAGACCAGCUGACCCGCCUCGACCGCCUUCACAAAGGCCACUGUUCUGGGAGAAGGCUUGUCCAACACUAUAGUGUUCUGAAUAAUGAACAUGAGAGGAAUUCCAGGAGUCCUCUUGACUUUCACAGAUAAGUUCUGAUCCUAUUAAAAAGGAAAGGGGUUUGGUUUCUCAAUCAAAAUUAGAACCUAAAAUUAAGUUUCUAUUAAAAAAGGCUAGAUGGGGAAAAAAAGAACUAUAUGUUUUCUUUUUCAGAUGACAUGUCUUAUUAAUCAAAAUGUAUCUUACGGUAGAGGACAGAAAACAUAAAGACUAAGCAGAAUGAAGCCACUCAACAGCAGUCGGGGCUGGAUCAGUCAACACUCUGGGCCCACGAAUUAUCAACCAAUGCAACAGAAAAUACAUUAGAAACUUUCUCUUGCCUUUCCACUAGAUAUUCUCUCGAAACAUCGACAAGGGAAGAGGUUGGAGCAGAGUAAUAAGCUGACUCCACAAUCAUAUCUGUAUACCUCAUGUGUGCCUAGGUGGCCGUAAGAUGGCGGUGGGUUCCUUGAGACUGUAGGUACACAUGGUUGAGAGCAGCUGUAUAGGUGUUGGGAAUUAAACCAAGAGCAGCCAGCUCUUAACCCCUGAGCCAUCUCUGCAGCCUCCUGAUGCUAAUCUCAGAGCACAUGCACCAUGAGCUGAGAAGCAGGAAUUCAGGAACAUGCUAGGUUAUGAGUCCAGAAGGCAGAGACUGCCCGACUCCUCCCUGCUUGAAGAACCGUGACGCAAUCAGCACACUACUGCAACAGCUCCUCAGCCUCUAGAAGGAAACUUCUGAAGGAAAAAAAGUCCCCCAAACUUAGUCUCCUCCUCAUAUGUUCAAAUGGACCAGAUACAAUGAGCCUUCCAGAUACUGAAGAGGACUCCAGG